UUAGCUCAUAUUUGUAUGGAAUGGGAUCGUUUGCGUACGUUUGCCGCUAGGGGCGCUGUUCCAACUGCAUACAAAAUUAGCUUA
rnacentral:pre_miRNA from 1 species